AAAGUUGACGGUGGAUACCUAGGGACUCAGAGAUGAUGAAGGGCGUAGAAACCCGCGAUAGGCUUGGAAUAGCUGGAAACAAGCAUUGACGCCAAGAUCCCCGAAUAGGACAACCUUUUUAAACUACUUAUUGAAUUCAUAGAUAAGUAAGAAGUAACCCAGUGAAUUGAAACAUCUUAGUAGCUGGAGGAAAAGAAAGCAAACGCGAUUCCCAUAGUAGCGGCGAGCGAACAGGGAACAGCCUAAACCAAUUAUCAUGUAUUGGGGUAGUUGGGAAAAAGAACAAUAGCCAAUAGCAAAGUAACGAAGCAGCUGAAUCCUGCACCAUAGAUGGUGAAAGUCCAGUAGUUAUGUUGUUAAAUUCUCUUUUCUCCCGAGUAGCAUGGGGCACGUGAAAUCCCGUGUGAAUCUGCGAGGACCACCUCGUAAGGCUAAAUACUCCUGAGUCACCGAUAGUGAACUAGUACCGCGAGGGAAAGGUGAAAAAGAACCCCUGGAGGGGAGUGAAAUAGAUCAUGAAACCGUCAACUGACAAGCAGUGGGAGAGCUUUUAAGCUUGACCGCGUUCCUGUUGAAGAAUGAACCGGCGACUUAUAGGAGGUGGCAAGGUUAAAGAAAUCAAUUCUGAAGCCAAAGCGAAAGCAAGUCUGAAAUAAGGCGAAAGGUCACUUCUUAUGGACCCGAACCUGGGUGAUCUAACCAUGACCAGGGUGAAGCUUGGGUAAAGCCAAGUGGAGGCCCGAACCGACUGAUGUUGAAAAAUCAGCGGAUGAGUUGUGGUUAGGGGUGAAAUGCCAAUCGAACUCAGAGCUAGCUGGAUCUCCCCGAAAUGCGUUGAGGCGCAGCGAUUGUUGAUGGGCUAUUAAGGGGUAAAGCACUGUUUCGGUGCGGGCUGCGAAAGCGGUACCAAAUCGUGGCAAACUAAGAAUACUUAAUAUGCUUUCCAACAAUCAGUGAGACGGUGGGGGAUAAGCUUCAUCGUCGAGAGGGAAACAGCCCAGAUCAUCAGCUAAGGCCCCUAAAUAAUGACUAAGUGGGAAAGGAAGUGAGAAUGCUCAGACAACCAGAAGGUUUGCUUAGAAGCAGCCAUCCUUUAAAGAGUGCGUAAUAGCUCACUGGUUAAGCGUUUUUGCGCCGAAAAUGCUCGGGACUAAGUCAUUUGCCGAAGCUGUGAGAUAUUGAAUGAUAUCGGUAGGGGAGCGUUCCGCUCUAGGGUGAAGUAUUUUUGAAAAAAAAUAUGGACGAAGCGGAAGUGAGAAUGUCGGUUUGAGUAACGAAAACACUGGUGAGAAUCCAGUGCCCCGAAAACCUAAGGGUUCCUCCACUAGGUUCGUCCAUGGAGGGUUAGUCAGGACCUAAGGCAAGAUCGAAAGGUGUAGUCGAUGGAAAACAGGCGAAUAUUCCUGUACUCUUUUUAUUUGAUACCGGAGGACGAAGCAAGAUUCAUAUCAUUAAGUUAUAUUGGAAAUUAGUGAUAUCAAUCAGAAUUAGACUUUGAAGAAAAACUUAGUCACAUAAUUUAAAAAGCUUCCGAGAAAAGUCCGAACUAUUGCUAAAUAAAAAGACCUGUACCCGAAACUGACACAAGUAGGUAGGUAGAGAAUACCAAGGGGAGCGAGAUAACUCUCUCUAAGGAACUCGGCAAAAUGGCCCCGUAACUUCGGGAGAAGGGGUGCCUCUAUUCAGAGGCCGCAGUGACCAGGCCCAGGCGACUGUUUACCAAAAACACAGGUCUCCGCUAAGUCGUAAGACAAUGUAUGGGGGCUGACGCCUGCCCAGUGCCGGAAGGUGAAGGAAGUCGGUGAUUCUUUUUGAAAAAGCUGGUGACCGAAGCCCCGGUGAACGGCGGCCGUAACWAUAACGGUCCUAAGGUAGCGAAAUUCCUUGUCGGGUAAGUUCCGACCCGCACGAAAGGCGUAACGAUCUGGGCGCUGUCUCAGAGAGAGACUCGGUGAAAUAGACAUAUUCGUGAAGAUGCGAAUUUAUCAUACUUGGACAGAAAGACCCUAUGAAGCUUGACUGUAGUCUGGAAUUGGGUUUGGGCUUUUCUUGCGCAGACUAGGUGGGAGGCGUUGAUCAUUUGUUUCCGGAUAAAUGUGAGCCAUCAGUGAGAGACCACUCUUGAAAGGCUAGAAUUCUAAUGGCGAUCCUUGAAUCAGGACGCUUGACAGUUUCAGAUAGGCAGUUUGACUGGGGCGGUCGCCUCAUAAAAAGUAACUGAGGCGUACAAAGGUUCCUUCAGAAUGGAUGGAAAUCAUUCGGAGAGUAUAAAGGUAUAAGGGAGCUUGACUGAAAGACUUACAAGUCGAACAGGGGCGAAAGCCGGUCUUAGUGAUCCGACGGUGCCGCGUGGAAGGGCCGUCGCUCAACGGAUAAAAGUUACUCUAGGGAUAACAGGCUGAUCUUCCCCAAGAGUUCACAUCGACGGGAAGGUUUGGCACCUCGAUGUCGAUUUCUCGCAACCUGGGGCGGUAGUACGUCCCAAGGGUUGGGCUGUUCGCCCAUGAAAGCGGGACGCGAGUUGGGUUCAGAACGUCGUGAGACAGUUCGGUCCAUAUCCAGUAUGAUCGUUAGAGUAUUGAAAGAAUUUCUCCCUAGUACGAGAGGACCGGGAGGGACACACCAAUAGUUUACCAGUUGUCGUUCCAACGGCAAACGCUGGGUAGCCAUGUGUGGAGUGGAUAACUGCUGAAAGCAUCUAAGUAGGAAGCCCAUCUUGAGAUUAGUACUCUCUGAGGUCACGGCAAGAAAAGCCGUUUU
rnacentral:rRNA from 1 species